rnacentral:rRNA from 1 species
UAAUACAUGCAUGUCGAACGAAGCACUUGUGCUUAGUGGCAAAUGGGUGAGUAACACGUACUUAAUCUACCCCCAAGUUUGGGAUAACAGUUGGAAACAAUUGCUAAUACCAAAUACAUAUAAGUUUUGCAUAAUUCUUAUAUAAAAGGAGCGUUUGUUUCGCUAGGGGAUGGGAGUGCGCUACAUUAGUUAGUUGGUAGGGUAAGAGCCUACCAAGACUAUGAUGUAUAGCGGGGCUGAGAAGCUGAACCGCCACACUGGGACUGAGAUACGGCCCAGACUCCUACGGGAGGCAGCAGUAGGGAAUAUUCCACAAUGAGCGAAAGCUUGAUGGAGCAACACAGCGUGCAGGAAGACGACCUUAGGGUUGUAAACUGCUAUUAUGAGGGAAGAAAAAUAAAUUUAGGAAAUGAAUUUUACAUGACGGUACCUCAUCAGAAAGCACCGGCAAACUAUGUGCCAGCAGCCGCGGUAAUACAUAGGGUGCAAGCGUUAUCCGGAAUUAUUGUGCGU